GGCUCGAGUGGCGAACGGGUGAGUAACACGUGAGUAACCUGCCCUUGACUUUGGGAUAACUUCAGGAAACUGGGGCUAAUACCGGAUAGGAGCUCCUGCUGCAUGGUGGGGGUUGGAAAGUUUCGGCGGUUGGGGAUGGACUCGCGGCUUAUCAGCUUGUCGGUGGGGUAGUGGCUUACCAAGGCUUUGACGGGUAGCCGGCCUGAGAGGGUGACCGGCCACAUUGGGACUGAGAUACGGCCCAG
rnacentral:rRNA from 1 species